rnacentral:tRNA from 1 species
GGAGUGGAUGAAAAUAAUUAAUUAUUUAACGACAAAUACACAUUUGGAAAGCGUGUUAUGGGUAACACUAUACGAGGGUUCGAAUCCCUCUCUCUCCGCCA